rnacentral:rRNA from 1 species
AUGAACGCUAGCUACAGGCUUAACACAUGCAAGUCGAGGGGCAGCAUUUUAGUUUGCUUGCAAACUGAAGAUGGCGACCGGCGCACGGGUGAGUAACACGUAUCCAACCUGCCGAUAACUCCGGGAUAGCCUUUCGAAAGAAAGAUUAAUACCGGAUAGUAUACGAAUAUCGCAUGAUAUUUUUAUUAAAGAAUUUCGGUUAUCGAUGGGGAUGCGUUCCAUUAGUUUGUUGGCGGGGUAACGGCCCACCAAGACUACGAUGGAUAGGGGUUCUGAGAGGAAGGUCCCCCACAUUGGAACUGAGACACGGUCCAAACUCCUACGGGAGGCAGCAGUGAGGAAUAUUGGUCAAUGGGCGCGAGCCUGAACCAGCCAAGUAGCGUGAAGGAUGAAGGCUCUAUGGGUCGUAAACUUCUUUUAUAUGGGAAUAAAGUUUUCCACGUGUGGAAUUUUGUAUGUACCAUAUGAAUAAGGAUCGGCUAACUCCGUGCCAGCAGCCGCGGUAAUACGGAGGAUCCGAGCGUUAUCCGGAUUUAUUGGGUUUAAAGGGAGCGUAGGUGGAUUGUUAAGUCAGUUGUGAAAGUUUGCGGCUCAACCGUAAAAUUGCAGUUGAAACUGGCAGUCUUGAGUACAGUAGAGGUGGGCGGAAUUCGUGGUGUAGCGGUGAAAUGCUUAGAUAUCACGAAGAACUCCGAUUGCGAAGGCAGCUCACUAGACUGUCACUGACACUGAUGCUCGAAAGUGUGGGUAUCAAACAGGAUUAGAUACCCUGGUAGUCCACACAGUAAACGAUGAAUACUCGCUGUUUGCGAUAUACAGUAAGCGGCCAAGCGAAAGCAUUAAGUAUUCCACCUGGGGAGUACGCCGGCAACGGUGAAACUCAAAGGAAUUGACGGGGGCCCGCACAAGCGGAGGAACAUGUGGUUUAAUUCGAUGAUACGCGAGGAACCUUACCCGGGCUUAAAUUGCAACAGAAUAUAUUGGAAACAGUAUAGCCGUAAGGCUGUUGUGAAGGUGCUGCAUGGUUGUCGUCAGCUCGUGCCGUGAGGUGUCGGCUUAAGUGCCAUAACGAGCGCAACCCUUAUCUUUAGUUACUAACAGGUCAUGCUGAGGACUCUAGAGAGACUGCCGUCGUAAGAUGUGAGGAAGGUGGGGAUGACGUCAAAUCAGCACGGCCCUUACGUCCGGGGCUACACACGUGUUACAAUGGGGGGUACAGAAGGCGGCUACCUGGUGACAGGAUGCUAAUCCCAAAAACCUCUCUCAGUUCGGAUCGAAGUCUGCAACCCGACUUCGUGAAGCUGGAUUCGCUAGUAAUCGCGCAUCAGCCAUGGCGCGGUGAAUACGUUCCCGGGCCUUGUACACACCGCCCGUCAAGCCAUGAAAGCCGGGGGUACCUGAAGUACGUAACCGCAAGGAGCGUCCUAGGGUAAAACUGGUGAUUGGGGCU